CAGCAAAAUCACCAGUGUUAAAUUUUCAGGGAUGGUGUUAAAUACACAGUGUUGAUGCUGUUUUAACACUAUCUGGUAAUAAAAUAACACUGCCAUUGCUAGGCCAGUGUUAUAUUCACGACAGUGUCAGUGUAAAACAAGGGUGUUAUCAGAUUUCACUCUGAGCGGUGUAAAUUAAGCCACGCCUCCACUAAACAUAUCCUGUCAGGGAUUUUACCGCCAUUUUCUUUCACAGGAGGACUGAAGAGAUCAGAUGCUAGUUUGGUGAAAGUUCACACUGAGUGCUUCAAAUCAUUCAGAAGAGAUGCUGUUUUUAGGGCAGUUUAUUAAAGAAGACCUGACAUGGAUGACUUCCAAUGAGAAACGACUGCUAAUACUUAUAUAAAUUCAUUACAGAAGGACCCUACCAGACUAUAUUUGAAUACGGCAUACCCAUGAAUUCUGGAACUGUUAUUCCUUAACCCAGUUUGGAGGAUAAGAGCUUACCAACUAGUUAUAAAUAUGCUGAGGUGAUGUAUUGCAAAAUAGCCAACAUACAACAAUAUGGAUGACCCUCUGUCUGGUCAACAGGAGUUUAAAUAUGGACGGGACAGUGAUGUGGCAGCUCUUCCCUGGCUCAUUCACCUCUUGCCUUUCAUUUGUGAAAGGAAGAAAGACUGGAGAGGGUCAAUGUGCAACUGAAGCUACAGAUUGUGCUAUGUGAUGAGCAUCAAUCCAUGCUUUGAGGGGAAUGAAUCAGCACAGCCCUGCCUGCACUGCGUUGGGAACAGAAGUUGCAUCCAGAAUUUUUGCAUCAUUCUGGACCAAAAAGCCAUUCCCUCCAUGAUGAAGACCACUGAUGCAGCCUUCCACUACAUCAUGAGUAAAACAACUACAGAACUAAAUACCAGGUUGGAACGUAUUUAAGAAAAAUGAAACGUCUUUUGAAUUGAAAUGUCUGUUUUGUUAUGGAAAAAUCUUUAGUAUUGUGAAGGAUAAGCAUUUCUGCCUGCCAGUAAGGUAAUUGCAGUGUAUUUUAAUGUUCAAGUUUUGAGUAGGGUGGCUAAUUUUUUUUUAAACUCUCAUUUGAUAUAUUAAAGACCUUUAUAAUAAGUGGUUUCAUGUCACUGCGCUGUGGUAUAAGAUAACUUUCAUUAUUCCAUACUGUAUUCUGUUUCUAAUUGUAGCUGAGGUAUUUAAAUAAGCAGUGUUAAAUGCAAAGUGUUGUGUGUAUCAAUGUAAAUAUUAAAUGUGAUGUACUUUAAUAAAAAGAGGUUUUGCAAUAUUUCUUGUCAUUUGUCUUUUAUAGAAACAACCCAUUAGCAACAAAAGUGGCUAUUAAUCAGUAUUUUAACACUUAACAUUGUUGAAUUCACAUUACACUGGUGUUGACUUUAAAUUAGGAGUGUUAAUUUUUAACACUGUAUUUCUGUGCCAACACCAGUGUAGUGUGGAAACAACAAUGAAUAGUGUUGAACAAAGUGUAAAAUUUAACAAUAUUGAGUGUUAAAUUAACAUAUAAUGAGUGU